UUUAAUUUGGACUUCACCCUCAUGCCCUACAGGCCUACCUCUAGCGACCCUAACCCGUCUUUCUCCUUAUUCCCUUCCUCCCUUCGCCACCACCCUUUCAUCUCCUCGCCGUCGCACUUCUCCCUCCGCCGCCUCCUCUCUAUACAAUCUUACAACUCCCAGCACAAGAUCAUGCGGGAGAAAGCAUGGAAGAGAGGAAAUCAGAUGAUGUGGUGCACGGGGACUCAUCCUCCUCCUCGAGAAGUAGUGAGCCGGGUUCAGUCAAGUCAAAGGCAUGGCUGUUUUUGAGAGAGUGCGAUGAGGCGACAGUGAGUUUCUAUGACGAUGACGAUGGUGAACCAAAGCGGGUGAAGGCGAAGGUGUGCUUUGAGGACCGAGUCGAUCUGAAUCGGGACAUGGCGCAGGCGAUCCGGUUGGUUCGAGCCACCAUUGAAGAUCUCUCCACCAUCGAUGUGGCAGAAGCAUUAUUGAGCUCAAAGCCACCAUCGACGAUCUCUCCAUCAAGAGCACCAUAGGGUCGAAGUAGCACCAUGAAUUGAAGACUCUGUUGAGUGGAGCAAUGACCAACUUGUACACGUGCCUUGAUGGCUUUGCGUAUAGCAAAGGGCAUGUGAGGGACAAAAUCGAGAAGAAGCUGCUUCAAAGAUCGCAUCACGUGAGCAACUCGUUGGCCAUGCUGAACAAAGUGCCACGAGUGAAGAAAUUAACAACUUCUUCAGAAUCUGAUGAGGUGUUUCCAGAAUAUGGAAAGAUGCAAAAGGGGUUCCCUUUUAACUUAUGGAGAACUACAUCAAAGGAGAAGAGAAAAUUGGAGUGCCUGCAGAAGCCAUUAUAUAAUUCAAUUUGUCGAGUGGCAAAAGUUCAUCGUCAGGGUUGCUGCUCACUGGACCCCAAAUUCAUGGGAUAAGACUAUACUUCAGUGUGAUGAUGUGAUGAAAUUGGAUUUUGGUACCCAUGUUGAUGGAUAUAUAGUUGAUUGUGCUUUUACCGUGGCAUUCAACCCCAUGUUUGAUCACUACUUGAAGCCUUCGUGAAGCAACCAAUACGGGUGUUAAGCUUGACUUGCAAAGGAAUAUGCUUGAUGGUCAUUUAGAAGAUGGAUUUUUACUUUUUUCAACUGCAAGCUAUUGUCAAUUUGUUAUUCAAGAUUUAUGUAAUGAUUCCUCAAAUUAAAUUUGUUUGAGCAAGCCAAUUAUUUUGGAUAUUGGGACUGUGUUUUAGUCUUUCGUGUUGAAGAUCAAGAUCAAUGGUGACAGAGAGUGAGAGUGAUCAUGUAAUUUUCUUUGAUAAUUCUUUCACAUUAGUUCCUAUGAUUGUGACAACUACCAGUAACCUGAAACAAGUCUACUUGAGUGUCCUUGAAGUUCCUAAAUGCAUUGAGGCAUGACAAAGAAAGGCUUCAAUUGACGUGCAACUACAGUUCUACAAUCCGAGACAAAAUUAUUCCUCAUGUCGUGUCUUAGUAAUUGCAACUUUUCUAGUCAAUUCUCAAUUUCAUACUCUUUUUAAUUAU